ensembl:lncRNA
GUUGUGGGUCCGAGUCUCGGGUCGGUAACACCACGAUGCCCUUGAGCAAGGCACCGAACCCCCAACUGCUCCCCGGGUGCCGCAGCAUAAAUGACUGCCCACUGCUCCAGUGCUGCGUGUGUUUUCCUGUCCCCUUUGGAUUUAUUAAAGACUUUGAAUUGUGACAUUGCCUCUCCUCGAUCCUCGCUCCAUGCUCCUCACAGUAACACCCCGUGACAGAAUUCCAGACCAAAAGACAAAACUGGCUGGUCCAAAGUCGACUUCCCAAGUCAAGCCUGCCAUCCGCGGCAAGCCCAAAGGAUGUUAAUGUGGCAAGCCCAAAGGACGUUAAUGUGGCAAGCCUGGCAACCCCAAAGCUCACUCCAGUGCCCGCUCCUCGAAAAAGUGCCUUCCAGAGCACCCUCCAGUGCCCGCUCCUCGUAAGUGCCUUCCAGAGUUCGCUCCAGUGUCGGCUCAGGCCCCAGAGUUUGCUCCAGUGUUAGCCCAGACCACACCUUUUCCCCCCUGAUCCAGAAGAGGAAACUAGGGGUGAGGAGAAGGGUGUCGGCCCAGGCCCAGAGCAAAGCCCAGGAAGGGCUCCAGAUCCCCAGUAAAGCCCAGGAAGGGCUCCAGAUCCCCAGUAAAGCCCAGGAAGGGCUCCUGAUCCCGAGUCUAGCCCAGGGAGGGCUCCCGAAUCCUCGUUAAGCCCAGGGAGGGCUCCUGAUUCCUCGUUUAGUCCAGGGAGGGCUCCUGAUCCCCAGUCUUGCACAGGAAGGGCUCCAGAUCCUCAAGUAUGCCCAGGGAGGGCUCCUGUCCCUGAGUUUAACCCAGUGUCGGCUCCAGCCCCACAGCUCACUCCAGUGUUGGCUCCAGGCCCAGAGCUCGUUCCAAUGUCGGCCCCAGCCCCAGAACGCACUCAAGUGCCCGCUCCUCCAGAGCACUCGCCAGAGCUAGCUCCUCUGGAGCGCUCAUCAAGAUACCUAGUUUUCCCCAAUACAUUUUUUUGGGUAGGGGGGCAUAUGCAUGGUGGCUGAGCUGGCUAAGGCCACGGAGUAUCUGCCAUGGCCUCCCGGGUCCCCUGCUCCGCCAUGGCUCCCUGAACUGGUCGCUCUGCCAUGGCUCCCUGAUCAGCCCUGGAGGCUCUCCUUGUCUUGGCUAACCCACCCACCCCGAAGGUGAUGUUACAGCGCGGGAUGCACCGUCCGGGAAGGGGGACGAUCUGUCACAUGUAUGUUCCCAUUCUCCUUAUUUGUUUUUUCCUGUUCCUGUCCUCGUCAUGUGAAUUCUUCUCUGGUUGUGUUUGAUUAAUUAGUUUGUAUUGUUCCCAGGUAUGUCUCAUUAGUAUCUGCCCUAUUUAGUUCUAGCCCAUUCUGUUCUACCUUGUCUGGAAUUGUUUGUGUCUACAGUGCUAUGUG